GUUCUCCGUUUGGCAGCAUAUACACUAAAAUUAGAACGACAUAGAGAAGAGUACCAUGGCCCNUGCACCAAGGAUGGCACGCAAAUUCGUGAAGCUUUCCAUAUUUUU
rnacentral:snRNA from 1 species